UCCAGGGGCACUGCACACAUAUGGAACAGACAUGCAAGCAAACAUAAAAGUAAAAAUUUUAUAAAUAAAGCCAAUUUUUUCAAAAGAUCUUUUAUGUUAACAUUGUGACAUGUUUCAGAGUAGGGCUGACGCAUAGAAAACUAAAUAAUGGAACUUCGUUCUACAGACACAAAAUUCUCAUGCUCUCUAUAUACAAUGAGAAUGCCUCAGAAUUCACCCGUUCCCGAUAUGAAGGGGAACAGGUAACCUAAAACCUUGACUCUACACACAGAUGCCUACCUUCUCUUCUAGAAGUCGGACCAGUUCAUCUCAAGCUCCAGAGCUGCAGAAGGAACACCAGAGCAACAGCCCUCAAAAGAGUUGCCUACUCUUUGUGUGCUCUUGGUAUGUUAAGCGUCACAGGCCACUGAGGAACUGAAAAGUAAGACACCACCAUGGUACCACUUACACACUUAUCAAAACGCCUGCACCCCAGACCCCACUCAUCCAUUGCUUGUGGGAACGCAAGAGGAGAAUUCAGAAGACAGUGGUGUAAGAAGGAACCAACUGAAGCCAUUUGGAACAGGCCUUAACUCAAAGUUUAAGUUCCCAAGACCUCCCUGGGUAACUGACUUCCUGCUUGGUGAGUAGAAGCAUGGAUGCUAGGUGAGUGCACUUCAACAUGAACGCUGCAGUUGAGUCCUGUAGGAACAGAGUAAGUGCACCACAAAGACGUGCUCUUAAGGAAGUCCCCUACCCCUAAGUCCUGAUUGGUGGGAUAACUUAGCACAGACGUUUAUGGAUUUCAAGCUUAAAAGCCCCGUACCAUUCUGGCUUGGGGUUGCAGUUCAGUUCCUGAGUCUCUUCUAUGGCCCUGAUUGAUCAGCAGCAGCCCGAGUGCAAUACAUCUUUGUCAUCUGCUUAAAUACUUACUAAGAUGUUCGAAGACGCAGUCAGACGGAGUCUGUGCUGCUGUUCCUAACUGGUUGAUUUUUGCUGCCUAAUUCAAAUAAAGAUCUUGCUUUGGGGGGACUCUUGAA